GAUGAACGCUGGCGGCGUGCCUAAUACAUGCAAGUCGAGCGAACAGACGAGGAGCUUGCUCCUCUGACGUUAGCGGCGGACGGGUGAGUAACACGUGGAUAACCUACCUAUAAGACUGGGAUAACUUCGGGAAACCGGAGCUAAUACCGGAUAAUAUAUUGAACCGCAUGGUUCAAUAGUGAAAGACGGUUUUGCUGUCACUUAUAGAUGGAUCUGCGCCGCAUUAGCUUGUUGGUAAGGUAACGGCUUACCAAGGCAACGAUGCGUAGCCGACCUGAGAGGGUGAUCGGCCACACUGGAACGGAGACACGGUCCAGACUCCUACGGGAGGCAGCAGUAGGGAAUCUUCCGCAGUGGGCGAGAGCCUGACGGAGCAACGCCGCGUGAGUGGUGAAGGUCUUCGGAUCGUAAAACUCUGUUAUUAGGGAAGAACAAAUGUGUAAGUAACUAUGCACGUCUUGACGGUACCUGAUCAGAAAGCCACGGCUAACUACGUG
rnacentral:rRNA from 1 species